GGAUCGCAGGCUGCAACCCGCCUGCGUGAAGUCGGAAUCGCUAGUAAUCGCGGAUCAGCAUGCCGCGGUGAAUACGUUCCCGGGCCUUGUACACACCGCCCGUCACACCAUGAGAGUCGGGAACACCCGAAGUCCGUAGCCUAACUAGCAAUAGAGGGCGCGGCCGAAGGUGGGUUCGAUAAUUGGGGUGAAGUCGUAACAAGGUAUC
rnacentral:rRNA from 1 species